rnacentral:rRNA from 1 species
CCUACGGGAGGCAGCAGUAGGGAAUUUUCGUCAAUGGGCGCAAGCCUGAACGAGCAAUGCCGCGUGAACGAGGAAGGUCUUCGGAUCGUAAAGUUCUGUUGAAGGGGAAAAAGAGCGGAGAGAGGAAAUGGUCUCCGAUUGAUAUUACCAUUAGAGGAAGUCACGGCUAACUACGUGCCAGCAGCCGCGGUAAUACGUAGGUGGCGAGCGUUAUCCGGAAUGAUUGGGCGAAAAGGGUGCGUAGGCGGCCUGCUAAGUCUGGAGUGAAAGGUACCGGCUCAACCGGUACAGGCUCUGGAAACUGGCGGGCUAGAGAGCAGGAGAGGGCGGUGGAACUCCAUGUGUAGCGGUAAAAUGCGUAGAUAUAUGGAAGAACACCAGUGGCGAAGGCGGCCGCCUGGCCUGUUACUGACGCUGAGGCACGAAAGCGUGGGGAGCAAAUAGGAUUAGAUACCCGUGUAGUC